rnacentral:lncRNA from 1 species
GCAGUUCUAUUUACAUUCCCAAGGUAACCACGUUCAGUAACUCUCUAGAGGCUAAGCUGUUAAAAUUUCCAUUUUUAUACAAAUAGCAAAGAUAUUUCUUUCUCUUUCUUUCUUUCUUUCUUUCUUUUCUUUCUCUCUUUCCUUCCUUCCUUCCCUCCUUCCUUCCUUCCUUUCUUUCUUUUUGUUUGAGACAGAGUUUCGCUCUUGACCCCGAGGCUGGAGUGCAGUGGCCUGAUCUUGGCUCACUGCAACCUCUG